rnacentral:rRNA from 1 species
AAUAGUACCCGGGUAGUCCACGCCGUAAACGAUGGAUGCUAGCUGUUAGAAGUAUCGACCCUUCUAGUAGCGAAGCUAACGCGUUAAGCAUCCCGCCUGUGGAGUACGAGCGCAAGCUUAAAACAUAAAGGAAUUGACGGGGACCCGCACAAGCGGUGGAGCGUGUUGUUUAAUUCGAUGGUAAGCGAAGAACCUUACCCAGGCUUGACAUCCCGGGAAGGCCUCCGAAAGGAGACUGUGCCUUCGGGAACCCGGUGACAGGUGUUGCAUGGCCGUCGUCAGCUCGUGUCGUGAGAUGUUUGGUUAAGUCCAUCAACGAGCGCAACCCUUGUAGUUAGUUGUAUUUUUCUAGCUAGACUGCCCCGGUAACGGGGAGGAAGGAGGGGAUGAUGUCAGGUCAGUAUUACCCUUACGUCUGGGGCUACAAACACGCUACAAUGGCCGGUACAAAGGGCAGCCAACCCGCGAGGGGGAGCAAAUCUCAUCAAAGCCGGUCUCAGUUCGGAUUGCAGGCUGAAACUCGCCUGCAUGAAGCUGGAAUCGCUAGUAACGGU